GUUCAUAAUAACGUAGCGGGUGUGGAAUGGGAAAAAUGAAGUGAGGAAAUGAGUAUAUUUAUAUUAUUUGACGUAUUAUUUAAUAACAUGUCAACUUUUGUGUGUGUUAGUGUGUGUUUGUGAGUGUAGUUGAAGGAGCAGUCACAGGUGGCGCUGGGUGGCUGGUUGGCUUGCGGCUGGCUGGCUACAGUGUUUUGGUCAGCACUUGUCAGACUUGUCCCACACGCUCUAUUAACCAGUAAAAACAUGUGUCUGGGUGGCUGGUUGGCUUGCGGCUAGCUGGCUACAGUGUUUUGGUCAGCACUAGUCAGUCUUGUCCUACACACUCUAUUAAGCAGUGUUUCGGUAUUCCCUGCAGCUUCUCCCUGCAUCGAGCACCGCCAAGCAGCAUCAGAGAGGCACAAGUACGCAAGAUUGGAUAUUGUAGGAUAUCAGAAACAGCCUCCACAGGACCAAGAGAUAUGUUGCUGCUUGUUGCUGGUGACUGUAGUGAUGGCAGUCAUGAUGAUAAAAAGCUUUAAUAUUUUUAUUUAUUUAUUUUGUUUUAAUAAUGGUUACAGAAGCAUGCACACCAUAUGCCACCUGGUCACAGUGAGAGGUCUAACUGCUUGGGGAUAUAAAAUAUAACUCUUACAUACAAAGGUGUCAUGAUGUAUUUUUUUAUUAUGUAUGGUAAAUAUACAUGAUUUUGCCUUGUUAUGCUGAACGAGGUCAGGUAGAUCAUGUCUGCCUUGGGAGUGUAAAAUAUAGCAAACUUCACAUCUGA